CGGGGUGUAGCUCAGUUGGCUUAGAGUACAUGGUUUGGGACCAUGGGGUCGGAGGUUCGAGUCCUCUCACCCCGA
rfam:Candidatus Peregrinibacteria bacterium RIFCSPLOWO2_02_FTLL_39_10 rifcsplowo2_02_scaffold_1982, whole genome shotgun sequence.